rnacentral:lncRNA from 1 species
CAAUUCUUCAUUAGGAGGAAUGAAGAGCUGAACCAUAACCACUCAGCCCCCUCACAGCAUCCAAACAGAGCUUGUAAAGCGGGGCCAGGCCUCUGCCACCCUUGCCUCCGUCCUCCAGCCCCUGUGCUCAGCAAACCGAGAGCCAAGGACAUGUACCCUCUCCAGGGUUGUCAACCGACCAGUGACAGGAAGCAGGUCUAAAGGCUCAUUUAACUGCAAAACAGCACCUGUCUUUUUAGGCGAGAGCAGGCUUUGCUUGUCAGCCCUGUCAGCAGCAGGGGCCCUGCCUGGAGGCACCCGAUUGUGUCAGAGGGGUCACACUGAGCACUGCGACACGCAGCACUGGCUGGCAUGGGGGCAGGAGGCUGUCGGCACGUUUUCUCUGCAAGGACAGCGGGUGACUGUUCCUAUUAAAAUAACCAUGUUCAGAAGAAGAGUCUGA